ACGGCCAAAAGCUAUUCACACUCCCACCAACGUCGUCCUUUUCUUCUCACCACAGCACAGCCACUGCACAGCACACCGCAGCCACCACCGCACCCCUUCCCACCGCCGCACCCCUUCCGCACCACCGCACCAAAGCAAUUUCCCAUGGUUCCUUCAAAGAUCAACCGAUUUGUUCUUUUAGCCAUUCUGAUUAUUCAUGUUGUGCAUGAAGUAGCGCAUGAAGGAGGGUAAUUCGUGUAUUCUACAAAUGAUUUUUCUUAAGAAGUGGAGUCACAGUACACUGGUGCCAGGAUCGAGGGAGAUGUUGUAACUUUAGAUUUUGUGAAGAAAAUGAUGGAGGAAUUCAAAAGCCAAAAGAACUUACAUAGAAGAUAUGCAUACCAACUUGUGUUGCAGAUAAGAGCAUUGCCCUCACUUAUUGACAUCAAUGUUCCUGAGGGGAAGCAUUUCACUAUAUGUGGUGAUGUACACGGUUAGGUACUGACCAGUAGCUUCAGAGUGCGCUAGACGGACCCGCAUAUUUAGCAUUAGUUAGUUUUAGUCAUAGUUAUGGCAUGUGUGCCUUGAAUUGUAUUUGAAUAUUAUUUGUGGAUUAUGCUUAGAUUAGUUAGUUGUAGCCUGUGCAUCUAGGUUCUCAAAUCUAGGUGUGGCAUAACACCCCGACUCUUAUGAUUAGUUUACGCUCUGUUUGGAUGAUUAAUAAUAGAUUUGCCUUGAUUUCAUAAGCUUUAAAUGUUUUAAAAAUUAGGGGUGUUAUAGUUAUACUCGUUAUACUUGGUAUUUUCCCAUGAAAUUAGAA